rnacentral:rRNA from 1 species
AGCGAACGCUGGCGGCAGGCUUAACACAUGCAAGUCGAGCGGGCGUAGCAAUACGUCAGCGGCAGACGGGUGAGUAACGCGUGGGAACAUACCUUUUGGUUCGGAACAACACAGGGAAACUUGUGCUAAUGCCGGAUAAGCCCUUACGGGGAAAGAUUUAUCGCCGAAAGAUUGGCCCGCGUCUGAUUAGCUAGUUGGUGAGGUAAUGGCUCACCAAGGCGACGAUCAGUAGCNGGUCUGAGAGGAUGAUCAGCCACAUUGGGACUGAGACACGGCCCAAACUCCUACGGGAGGCAGCAGUGGGGAAUAUUGGACAAUGGGCGCAAGCCUGAUCCAGCCAUGCCGCGUGAGUGAUGAAGGCCCUAGGGUUGUAAGNUCUUUUGUGCGGGAAGGAUAAUGACGGUACCGCAAGAAUAAGCCCCGG